GCAUUGUAUGGAUUUACAAAGCUGAGAUAUUCUUCUAAAAAUCUUUGUUUGUAUUCAGCAGAAGAAAAAGUCACACAUCUGGGGUGACUUCAGGGUGAGCAAAUGAUGUUUGAAUUGUUGUGUGGACUAUCCCUUUAAUUUCUUUUAAAUCACUAUAUUUUCACUUUGUUAUUUUCUGUUUAUGUAUUGUAUUAUUGAUUUACAGCAUUAUAAAUUUGCAGCUUAAUUUGAUUUUAGUAAAUUGUAUACAGCAGGUUAAGGAUGUUCAUAAACACUUUUUGGGAUAAGGACUCUGUUCUCUUUCACUAACUUUUUUUUUUCUCCAACUCCUACCCUCUUCCAUCUUAGAGGGACGAAUCAUGGUAAGUAUUGUAAUAAUUAAAAUAACAUAUUCUUAUUAAAACUGUGUUUAAUCUCACAAAUGGAAGUAUGUUGCUUCAUAUCCCAUUUAUUUGCUUCUGAAAAUGUUAAUUCGUUAUGUUUGUAUGUAGCCUCCUCCAGCCAAGUAUGGAGGCCCGGCACACUGUAACAUUGAUCCCUGGAGAUGGGACUGGACCAGAGCUGCUCAGCCAUGUGCGCGAACUCUUCAGAACUAAACAAAAGAAGUGGAUCAGCUGUGUUCCUGUGGACUUUUGAAACUUUGAGGACGACAUCAACAAUUCCAUUAUGGCCAUCAGAUGCAAUGGAGUUGCACUUAAAGGUAACAUUGAGACUAACCACACAAUGCUGCCUAAUCACAAGUCAUGGAACAAUCUUCUGCAGUAAGACAAAUAAUUUAUGUAUAUCAGAUGAAUGAGCUGCUAUAUAUGAAAGUUCUAAAAGUUAUUUGGCCCAUCAGUUUGAUUUGAUGGAUGAUGGCAGAGUACCUCAGACUUGGCCUUUUGCCCAUGACCAUGCGUCUAGACCCGUUCACCUCUGUUUGCUCUCAGCACAGCUGUCACUCUCUCUCAGCACGAGUUUGGAUCUGUAUGCCAAUGUGAUGCACUACCAGUCACUUCCUGGAUUCCGGACACCCCAAAAAAACAUUGACAUCAUAAUCAUCAGAGAAAACACGGAGGAGUGUAUCUGGAGUUGUGGAGUGUCUGAAAAUCAUCACCCAUAAUAACUCUGCAUUGCUGACUAUGCUUUUAAACUGGCCGGGAAAGGUCGCCGAAGGGUCACUGCUGUCCACAAAUCUAACAUCAUGAAACUGGGGGAUGGGCUGUUCUUGCAAUGCUGUAAGGAGGUGGCCUCUGGGUACCCAGACAUUCAGUUUGAUAGUAUAACACCACCAUGCAGCCCCACCAGUCUGAUGGCAUGGUGAUGCCUAAUCUGUAUGGCAAUGUAGUCAGCAAUGUGUGUGCCGGACUGGUGGGCAGACCCGGUUUGGUGCCUGGUGCCAACUAUGGACGAGACUACGCUGUGUUUGAAACGGUUGGUCUGAAGGACAUUAUGGGAAAAAGGAAUAAUGCUUUGGCAUAUCUAAACCGUGAGGGCCUUAAAGGGAUAGUUCCCCCAAAUUUGAAAAUUCUCUCAUUAUUUACUCACCCUCAUUAUAUCCCAGGUGUGUAUGACUUUCUUUCUUCUGCAAAAUACAUUUCAAGAAAAUACGAUCGCUUUUGGUGCAAAAAAAAAGAUCAACAUUUAAAUACUUUUUAACUAUAAUCCAACGCUUCCGGUAAGCUUCACGAGAGUGUGGAGUUCAAGCGGUCUCUCGUGUGACGUAUUUGCAUUGCCAUGAUACAGGGGUAAUCUCAUUUUCUCCACUCAGUUGAGACAUCCAGGAUAAGCACGCAAAUGAAUCAUUGUGAUUAAAGAAACAGAUCAAUACAAAUCUAAACCAAAACCAACCAAGGUACUGUACAGCAUUCCUCCUACUCAUUUGUAAACAGCGCUGCUCUUCCAGCUGUGACGCACUUGCCUCAGUUCUCGUGUUUCAAGUGUCAAUGCGGUUACAUCACACGCGCGUACCACUGCAGUCCAGAAGCAUGAUUUAGAGUUAAAGUACUUAAAUAUUUAUCUUUUUCAAACCAAAAGCGAUUGUGUCUAUUUAGAAGACAUUAAUUUAACAGCUGGAGUUGUAUCGAUGGUCAUGUAGCAAUAUUAUUGUGUAGCCUACAUUUAAAAUUACAUUCUGGGCUGAAGCUCCGUAAAAUUGACCUGGCGACGCUGAUGACUGUGACUGGUCAACACUUCAUUUAAGAUGUUAACCAUUCUUAAUUACCUUUUUGUCUUCACUAGUUCAUAUUAAAUGGUCCUGUGGUGUCAAAAAAAUAUUUUUUUAAAGUAUAAAAAUUCCAUGUAGUCCCUCAAUUAAAAUUAAGUCAUAACUGUAUGUGUAAUAACUAUAAAAGAAUUAACAAAAUGCUCUUGACAUUUCAAUUUUCCAAAAGUAUUUAAAGGUACACUCAGUUAAUUUUUCUUAAUUAAAAAAGUUUUACUCCUAAAGAAAUUAACUGUGAUUUUGAAACGUAUAUAAAAUCAUGAGCACUCGCAUGAGAUGAAGACUCAAGUCAUAUCUGUAACCUUAUAAAAGCUGUUUAAAUCUAUAUUGAGAGGGUCCCCUCAAGGGGGCUGCCAUAUUGGGAUCACAUGACCAGUUGAAUACUACUUAAUCUCAGUAACCAUCCUGUUAUUGGUCCCUUUCACUCAUGGAUUAAAUUAAUAAUGGUUAACUGUGAAUAGUGGAUUUCUACAAUGACUAGUUGUCGCACGUUUAUGAUAUUAAUUGAAUUACUUAAAUAUAUAUUUUGGGGGGCAUCAGAAAAUGGUUUGAGUUCCAGGGCUGAGAAAGAAUGUUAUAAGUAGCAUUGCUAACACUGUUUUACAUUACAGAGAAAUACUAAACUGUAAUAAUGAGCCUUUAAAAUAUAAAUUUUACAAGCGCACGCACAUAUAUAUGAGAUCAAGCUUUUGACACUUAGGACAAUUGAGGGACUUGUUCACAACUAUUACACAAGGUGAAAACAUUCACUGAUGCUCAAAAAGACAACAAACUACUAUAUGCAUACAAAAAAAUAUUAUAUAUAUAAAUAUUUUUUUGAUCACUUUAUUAUUUUAAUUGCUUUUUCAUGCCGUUUGGAAUGCAAUUUGAAUUUAGAAAUGUAUUUGAUUUAAUUUUUUGUUUUUUAAAUAAUUUAAUUUUCAAUGCAAAAUCACUAAAGCAAGAAUAUUCACCGAUCCCUCAGCCAGGGGGUUGCCGAUGUAAUUGGAUAUUGUGAUAUAUAUAUAUAUCAUGAAGGAAAACAAAUGUAUUCACACAUAUGAUGUGUUUUCCUGGACAACAAAUUACCCGACCGGUACAGAAUGCACAGAUGAAGUAGGUUCUUUGCUAGAGAGAUGUUGCCCUUCACAACUGUUGAAAAGACAUCUUUCAAAAGGUUGAACACAUUUUAAUUGCACUUAAUUUGUUUCCAGUUUCAUUUGAAUUUUUAGUUAAAAUGAAUAAAACAUAAAGUUCAAAGUUUGAAAUCAAGGUGUCUUGCUUUAUUGUGUAGGCCUAACCCUAACCCUGUUUAGGGAUGUACAUUUUCAGACAUUUUCAUAAUCUAUCGUCAUGGAAAUUAACGAGCAAUUAAUCGAAUAAUCAUUACCGUUAAUACAGCUAAAAUUCAAAUGGUUGACUCCAAAUAAUAAAUAUGUGCAUGUAGCCUUCUGUUUAAAUAUAAUUUAAAUUAUUACACUUAAGAAAUGCAAGUAUUGGCAUUGUCCUCUUAAAAUAUUCUUAGUUGAGUGUAUUUUAAUACAUCUAGGCGAUAUUUAGUAUGAAUUUGUCAAUUUGUUUAAUUACUGUUAAUGAAUUACUGUUAGUACUCACCCUGCUAGAACUGUACACAUCCAGAGUGACAAAAAGGGCUGGUAAAAUUACUCUUGACCACAUUCACCCAGUACACUUCCUCUUCGAACUGUUGCCCUCUGGCCGGUGCUACAGAGCACUGAGCACCAGAAAAGCCAGGCACAGGAACAGAUUUUUCCCUCAGGCCAUCCACCUCAUGAAGUUAAAACUGCCCCCAAGCACUUUCCUUUGGUCAGUACAACCAUGUGCAUAUUCAAUAUUCAAUCCAUCCAUUCCUACUUGUAUCCAUAUUUCACUUUUAUUCUUUAACAUAUCCUACCUCUUCUUCAAUACAUUACAUCACCUGCACAUAAUUCUAUAUCUGUAUAUAAAAUAUUCAAACAACAUUAUUGCACUAUUGUAUAUUUCAAAUUAUUUUGUUAUAUCGUAUUUUUUUUUUAUGUCGCUAUAUGUAUACAUGUUUAAAGCUACACUAUGAAACUUUUGGCCCUCUAGCGGUUAAAAAAUAAAACUGCAUGUGUCUUGCAGAAGAACAUUGUUUUGGUAAUGACAUAAGUUAUGCUUCGUCUCUACUCCUCUGUGUGGAUGAAUGUGGUUCGAGGCACCGGUGUACACAUGAAUACGGGACAACUUAGAGCGAAUGGACAAAUAAACAAAGAAAAAAGAAAAGACGGAUAUCCGAAAACAUGUCAUCUGAGCAGGUGUGGCUUUCACUAUCCUGAUGCUGUUAGCCAGUCUAAACUCCUGCACUAAUCCGUGGAUCUACACUGCAUUUUCCAGCAGCGUGUCCCGUGAGCUUCUCUUCUUGCUGCGUUGUCGCCCAAAGCCACC